ACGCACGCUGGCGGCGUGCUUAACACAUGCAAGUCGAACGGUGAAGCGCCUUCCUUUUUGGUGGGUGUGGAUGAGUGGCGAACGGGUGAGUAACACGUGAGUAACCUGCCCCCUUCUUCUGGAUAACCGCAUGAAAGUGUGGCUAAUACGGGAUAUUCUGGGUCUGUCGCAUGAUGGGUCUGGGAAAGAUAUUGUUUCGGUGGGGGAUGGGCUCGCGGCCUAUCAGCUUGUUGGUGGGGUGAUGGCCUACCAAGGCGGUGACGGGUAGCCGGCCUGAGAGGGUGGACGGUCACACUGGGACUGAGGCACGGCCCAGACUCCUACGGGAGGCAGCAGUGGGGAAUAUUGCACAAUGGGCGCAAGCCUGAUGCAGCGACGCCGCGUGAGGGAUGGAGGCCUUCGGGUUGUGAACCUCUUUCGCCAGUGAAGCAGGCCUGCCUCGUUUGUGGGUGGGUUGACGGUAGCUGGAUAAGAAGCGCCGGCUAACUACGUG
rnacentral:rRNA from 1 species